UACGUAGGGUGCAAGCAUUAAUCGGAUUUAUUGGGCGUAAAGGGCGCGUAGGCUGGAAUGCCAGUCAGAUGUGAAAGCCCGGGGCUCAACCCCGGAACAGCAUUUGAAACUACAUUCCUAGAGGGUAGGCGGAGAAAACGGAAUUCCACAAGUAGCGGUGAAAUGCGUAGAUAUGUGGAAGAACACCAGUGGCGAAGGCGGUUUUCUAGCUUAUACCUGACGCUGAGGCGCGAAAGCAAAGGGAGCAAACAGG
rnacentral:rRNA from 1 species